AGCAGCCGCGGUAAUUCCAGCUCCAAUAGCGUAUAUUAAAGUUGUUGCAGUUAAAAGCUCGUAGUUGAACUUCGGGAUCAGUACGCUGGUCAUGCCUUUGGUAUGCACUGGUGUCACUGGUUUCUCCCUUCUGAAGAACCGUGAUGUCAUUAAUUUGGUGUCGCGGGGAAUCAGGACUGUUACUUUGAAAAAUUAGAGUGUUUAAAGCAGGCUCACGCUUGAAUACAUUAGCAUGGAAUAAUGAAAUAGGACGUUUGACCCUAUUUUGUGGUUUCUAGGAUCGACGUAAUGAUUAAUAGGGAUAGUUGGGGCAUUAGUAUUCAAUUGUCAGAGGUGAAAUUCUUGGAUUUAUUGAAGACUAACUACUGCGAAAGCAAUUUGCCAAGGAUGUUUUCAUUAACCAAGAACGAAAGUUAGGGAUCGAAGACGAUCAGAUACCGUCGUAGUCUUAACCAUAAACUAU
rnacentral:rRNA from 1 species